rfam:Aedes albopictus isolate Foshan contig52660, whole genome shotgun sequence.
ACAGUCGUGGCCGAGUGGUUAAGGCUUCUGACUCGAAAUCAGAUUCUCUCUGGGAGCGUAGGUUCGUAUCCUACCGGCUGCG